rnacentral:lncRNA from 1 species
AGUAAUUUGUCAAUUGCUUGGUCAGGUAUGUCAAGUCCUAACUAAUAUACCAGCACAUAUUUGAUUUUAAAAAGGGUUGCUUCUUGUGUCAGGCUUUUUCUUGAUGCGUACUUCGGUACUUGCAUGCUAAAGCUAGCAUGCUUGACACUCUUCUGAACUGUUACUAAUUCCUUAUGCCUUACAAUAUCUCAAAUUGACUGGUAGAGGCGAUGAAACUAUAAGUGGUAGGGGAAGUAGGAAGUCAAAAAAGAAUUCACCAAGUUGUAAAGCUUUGUUGCUUGAUUGUUUUGGAGUGGAUAGGUUGUCUCUAACUUGUUUAUUUCGAUUGUUGUCUC